CCUACGGGAGGCAGCAGUGGGGAAUAUUGGACAAUGGGGGGAACCCUGAUCCAGCGACGCCGCGUGAGUGAAGAAGUAUUUCGGUAUGUAAAGCUCUAUCAGCAGGGAAGUAAGAAAUGCCGGUACCUGACUAAGAAGCCCCGACUAACUACGUGCCAGCAGCCGCGGUAAUACGUAGGGGGCAAGCGUUAUCCGGAUUUACUGGGUGUAAAGGGAGCGUAGACGGCGAUGUAAGUCUGAAGUGAAAGACGGGGGCCCAACCCCAGGACUGCUUUGGAAACUGUAUGGCUGGAGUGCAGGAGAGGUAAGUGGAAUGCCUAGUGUAGCGGUGAAAUGCGUAGAGAUUAGGAGGAACACCAGUGGCGAAGGCGGCUUACUGGACUGUAACUGACGUUGAGGCUCGAAAGCGUGGGGAGCAAACAGGAUUAGAUACCCUUGUAGUC
rnacentral:rRNA from 1 species